UUGAGCCGUAUGCGGUGAAAGUCGCACGUACGGUUCUUAGCGGGGGAAAGAUUUGUGAAAAUCCUACCUAUCGCAAC
rfam:Tstilago hordei, Th4857-4, WGS project CAGI01000000 data, contig: THOR_scaffold_4.00319